rnacentral:sRNA from 1 species
AUCAGAUAGUUCCUAAAAAUAUAGAAAAAUAUUCACGGAGCUGACAGGAGGCUCUGCCUUCGGGCAGUGCGGCAGUUGGGAAAGUGAUCGCACCUGCGGAUGUCCUCAGCCCUGCUGUCCGGUUUUAAGGGCGGAAACGCGAUGGUGAAUCGGACGUGAAAAGCUUUCCCAACAAUUCCGAGGAAUACCUGACUCCCGGCAACGGA